GACGAACGCUGGCGGCGUGCUUAACACAUGCAAGUCGAACGAUGAACCAGGGCUUGCCCUGGGGAUUAGUGGCGAACGGGUGAGUAACACGUGGGCAACCUGCCCCAGACACCGGGAUAACCUCUCGAAAGAGUGGCUAAUACCGGAUAUGACCACUUUGGGCAUCCAACGGUGGUGGAAAGGAUUCUGGUCUGGGAUGGGCCCGCGGCCUAUCAGCUUGUUGGUGGGUAAUGGCCUACCAAGGCGACGACGGGUAGCCGGCCUGAGAGGGCGACCGGCCACACUGGGACUGAGACACGGCCCAGAAUCCUACGGGAGGCAGCAGUGGGGAAUAUUGCGCAAUGGGCGAAAGCCUGACGCAGCGACGCCGCGUGAGGGACGAAGGUCUUCGGAUUGUAAACCUCUUUCAGCAGGGACGAAGCGAAAGUGACUGUACCCGCAGAAGAAGCACCGGCUAACUACGUGCCAGCCGCCGCCGUAAGAC
rnacentral:rRNA from 1 species